rnacentral:rRNA from 1 species
AACGCACCUUGCGCUCCUUGGUAUUCCGAGGAGCAUGCCUGUUUGAGUGUCGUGAAGUCUUCAACUUUGUCUCGCUUUGAAAAUUGCGAGGCGAGGCUUGGAUUUGGGGGUUGUUGGCCUCUUGCCUCCCUUGCCGGGGGCUUGAGGGGGGUCGACUCCUCUGGAAUGCAUUAGCGGGAACGUCUUGCGGACCGUCACUUGGUGUGAUAACUAUCUACGCCUCAUGACCGAUGCUCUUGUUCUGCUUCUAACCGUCCAUUGACUUGGACAGCUCUUUUGACAAUUUGACCUCAAAUCAGGUAGGACUACCCGCUGAACUUAA